rnacentral:lncRNA from 1 species
GGGGGAUGAAUCGAGUGACUUUAAUUUACUGUUCCUUCAGAGUGAUUUCAAUAGAACACUGGUUAAGAAGUGAUUUCUGAUUGGAAACCCCUCCCUGUUAGACAUCCAAUAUCAGAAUAUUAAUCUUUUUAUUUAAUGACCAGGACUAAUCAUUGAUUCAACUCCAUUGCAGGUUGUCAAAUUUUGCAGAUCUAGAUCAUUUCAAUCUUUUUGUCAGAAUAUAACUAUUUCAACAAAUUCAAAUUCAGAUAACUUUUUUGUUGUAAUCUGGUUCAGCAAGGGGUCCUGCUGUCCAGCACAAGAUCAUUUAUGAAGGAAAUCAGAUCAAAUCUAUAUUUUUUAUGCCCCACUUACGAUAGUAGAGGGGCAUUAUGUUUUCUGGUCUGUGCAUUCGUCCGUCUGUCUGUACCAUGAAUAAAUGCAUUGCAUUUUUGUCAGGAACUACUUGCCAAGGAUUUCAAAAUUUGGUGUUAGGAUUUAUAUAAGUCAGCUACUUGUAUACCCAGUGAUGUGUUUUCCAAAUUCAUCAUUAUGAAUUCAGGGAAAGAAGAAGUCAUUAUCAUCACUGUAAAAGUGUUUGGAUUUGUUGGUAUAUAUCACCAUUAUCACUGACAAGGUCAAUUGGCUAUAAAUACCUUGUGUGCUAUAAAUGGUAAGGAACAUGUGUACUAAGUUUUAAGUUGAUUAGACUUCAGCUUCAUCAAAAACUACCUUGACCAAAAACUUUAACCUGAAGUGGGAUGAACGGAUGCAAAGACGAAUGGAGGAACAGACGGACUGACGGAUGGACAGACAGAGGUAAAACAGUUUACCCCCCCUCC